GCAGCGUGCAGGGCUCGAGGAGCGGUGAUGCGGAUCUUUCGUGCAGGGCCGCUCGAGGGCAAAAAAAAUAAAUACAAAAUUAUCGUAAAAACGAAAAGCAAAUUGCCAACUUUGCAAAACUAGCAAUAAGCGAAAAAAAAAAGAUGCACCGAAUGCUGGACGGGCUGUAAGAUUAUGAAAUGCUGAAUGACUGUAGUGCAAGAGCUUUUGUAAAGUGAAGGUCGUUGUUUCUCGUUUCUUUUUAAAUGGAAACAGUUUUAUGGUCUUUAGACCGAAAUGCGUCAUAGGCACGAUUUUAUUUUUAUGAAAGUAAAAAACAAAACACAACAAAAAAAAAAAAAAAAACGCGCAGAGACCGCAGCCGGACGAAUCAGUGAAGACAGAGGCACUGGAAGAGUUUUUAAAGUGGGGGUGCUGAAAGCCAUUGAACAGACCUGUAACCGCUGUGCAUGACGGAAGCCUUGCAAAGCCAGCACCCCGAGUUCAGCGCCCUUGAGCGGGAUGCAGGGGACCGUCACCGAGAGCCGACGUGUUUAGCUGAAGUUUGUUGAACGCCGGCUGACCUCUCCACUGUCUCGCUUAUCUCCCCAUCGCUCUCUCUCAAGGUGAAAUCUGAUCACUGUUCGCUGACAAAUUGUCAGUUUUUGAACCCCCAACCCGCGCCCCCUCAUCCCUCCCCCUUGUUCACGGAAUCAGAAAAAAUGUGAGAGUGGGGGGGACCAGCUAGCCUUAGCGAACCCGAC